rnacentral:rRNA from 1 species
GACGAACGCUGGCGGCGUGCUUAACACAUGCAAGUCGAACGGGAAGGCCCUGCUUUUGUGGGGUGCUCGAGUGGAGAACGGGUGAGUAACACGUGAGUAACCUGCCCUUGACUUUGGGAUAACUUUAGGAAACUGGGGCUAAUACCGGAUAGGUGCUCCUGCUGCUUGGUGGGGGUUGGAAAGUUUCGGCGGUUGGGGAUGGACUCGCGGCUUACCAGCUUGUUGGUGGGGUAGUGGCUUACCAAGGCUUUGACGGGUAGCCGGCCUGAGAGGAUGACCGGCCACAUUGGGACUGAGAUACAGCCCAGACUCCUACGGGAGACAGCAGUGAGGAAUAUUGCACAAUGGGCAGAAGCCUGAUGCAGCAACGCCGCGUGCGGGAUGACGGCCUUCGGGUUGUAAACCGCUUUCGCCUGUGACGAAGCGUGAGUGACGGUAAUGGGUAAAGAAGCACCGGCUAACUACGUG